AUGAAACCCAAAAUGAAACAGCCCCAAACGGAGGCAACAGAGGCGGAGACGCACGAGGAUAGCGAGGCGGUGGUCCCGCGGCAACAGGAGGUCGACGGCGGCGCGGCACGGGAAGAACAACAACAGGACGGGGUGGCUACCCUCGCCCUUAGCGUGGAGCAUGGGAGGCUGGAGGUGCCAUGGACAUCGGGCACACGAGGAGGAGCAGGGAAAGGAGGCCGGGCGGGCGACGUGCUUGUGCAGCAACGACUUAGGUCGUGGGCGGCGGAGGUUCGGCGCUGGAGAAAUAGGAAGGCCACAGUAGAGAAACGGGACUCCGACGACGAGGUGCAGUAG
rnacentral:rRNA from 1 species